AUUGUGCAAUUCAGGGGCCCUGUGGAAGCAAGGGUCAAUGAUCAAACUGUGGGGCCCAUAGAAACAAGGAGCCAUUGUGACACAGCAGGGCCGCAGGGAGCCAAGGGACCAGUGUGACUCUGUUGGAGCUCCUGAAACCAAGAAGCCAUUGUGACAUUGCGAGACUUCAUGGAAUCAAGGAGACCAUUGUGAUGGUGUGGGGACCCAUGAUAUCAGCGGAACAUGGAACAGGUCUGCCUGCUUUGGCCUCCUGGGGCCUGUCUGACAGGUCCCGCUGAAUUUGACAUGUCAAGGGCCACUUCCCAUCUGACUGUGAAGCACUGGGGCUCCGUGCCUUCCUUCCUAUGGAAAAGAACUGUCUUUCUUGUCUAGGCUCCCAUGGCUGAAAUUAGGAUUCCACUCUAAAAUGCCCUAUAUCCAAGGCUUUCUCCCAGACAAAAUCUGCCAAUACAGUCAAGUCUGGCUAGCCUUGGCCUCUGGUGACUGCCUCUCAUCUGCCCCUGGGGCUCGGCUGUUUUCUUCCUGUGGAGACCACUGAGACACUGUGGGGCGUUGUGGAGCCAAAGGGCAUUGUUACACUGCAGGAACUUGUGGAACCAAGGGAUCAUUGCGACACUGUGGGGUCUUGAGGAACCAUGGGAUCAUUGUGACACCGUAGGGUCUUGAGGAACCAUGGAGACCAAUGUGACACUUUGGGGUCUUGUGAAAUGCAGGGGCAUUGUGACACUGCAGAGCACUAUGGAUCCAAGAGACCAUUGUGGCACUGUGGAGCCUCACAGAACCAAGGACAACGCCGUGGCUCUGUUGGGCUUCAUGGUCCCAAGGGGCCAGUGUGAAGCAGCAGGGCUUUGUGGAGCCAAGAGGCCAUUGUUGCAUUUCAGGGCCUCAUGGAGCCAAAGGGUCGUUGUGAUCCUGUGGGGCACCAUGGAUCCAUGGAGACCAUUGUGGCACUGCAAGGCCCCAUGGAAUCAUUGUGACAGUGUGGGUCCCCAGGAAACCAAAGAGUCAUUGUGACCCUGCAGGGCCUCAUGGAGGGAAGGCGUCAUUGUGACACUGUGGGAAGCUGUGGAACCAUUGUUGCACUACUGGGCCCCAACAGAACCAAGGGGCCGUGGUGACACAGCAGGGCUUCAUGAAAUACAAAGACCGUUAUGACACUGUGGGGUCUUUUGGAACCAUGGAGACCAUUAAAAUCCUUAAGGACUUGUGUAACCAAGGGGCCAUUAUGAUGCCACAGGACAUCAUGGAAGCAAGAGAACCACUGUGAUGUUGCGAGACUUCAUGGAAGCAUAGAGCCAUUGUGACACUGCAGGGCCCUAUGGAACCAAGAGAACGCAAAAUAGAUCUGGCUGCCUUGGCCUCCCAGGAGUCAUCUGACAGGUAUCCAUGGGCAAAAUUAGGAUUCCACUUCCAAAUUUCUGUGUAUCCAAGGAUUGCUGCCAGAGAAAAGCUGCCAGGACAGACAGUCAGGGAACCAGAGAGAUUUGUCUCAGCCACCUUCACUGCGACAUCUGGACCCUGAGCAGGGACCCUGACAUUCAGUUGCGUCAGCUGGGGUUAGCUGAGAGAUAGGCCAGCGCUCCUGGGACUGUGGAUUGUGCCCAGUGGAUUUCCCAUCACUUCGAGGGACCUGAGCCAGCAUUUGUGGGGAUGAUGACGGUUUCCUCCUGUGGAGGAUUGCAGGUGGGUUUGGGAAAAUGCAGGACAUUUAUCACCUAUUUUGCCACUGUGUUUUUAAAAUACAGAUCCACAUCCCAUAAUUGAUUUGGGGCGUCCCGGUGCCUGUUCCCCCCAAGGCGGAGAGGGAGAAAAAUGGGUGGUCAGUUGUCCAAAGUAGAAAGGAGCUUAUAUGGACACUUUAAGUUAAUUCUCACUGAUCAUGACAAAAUAUUUUUAAAGAACAAAUUAAAAUCAAUUGUGAGGUGGAUCAUAAAAAAUUUUCCAGACACUUAUGCUGACAAAAUCCAUACCACUGAAUUUUGUGACUCUGGGGGAUUUAAAUUGUACAACUUUUCGAUCAAAAGGGACCCCAUUGCACCCUGCAUGCUCCCCUUCUUCUACACCCUCCUUGAGACCCUUCACCAACAAGAUGUGUGUCGAAAACUUGAUCCAUCAGUCCCUCCUAACCCGGGACCUCCUCUGAAACCUGCCUUUCUUGGACUUUCCAUGAUGGUCCAAGAUGGCAAUGGCCACGCUGUCUUGGAGCAUUGUGCCCUGGAGACCCAGGAUGGAAUAAGCCUGAAUGUGGCUCGGGAGCCUGGCCAUCCUCCCUCCAUCUUGGCUCCUCCACUUCCUGCUACCACAACCUUCUCUUCCACUCUGAACAAACCUCCAGACUCCACCGCCGUGCCUGCAGGUCACGCCUCCACUGUCAUUCAUUCCACCUCCACCCUGGGCCACAGCUCCAGAAAAUGACAAAAUGGCAGAGCCCUUUACUCACCCUCCGGCAACAAUAUAAACCCCAUGGUCAAGGAUACUAGCCAAACUGUCACACUAUUUAUAAUCCAAUUGUUUCUGCUUCAAGUAACUCUUCCAUCCCAGAAGACAGUUUGGAUUCCCCAGAGCCACCUCUCCCCUCAACCCUAGAAGAUCCCUGGGAAAGGAUCUGGAAGGAAGCAGUUCAGGAAGGAGACUGGCAAAUAGUCUUGAAACUCCUCAUUGCCCCAGGACAUGAUGAAAGAAGGGAGCAGAAUCCCAGGUAUCAGCCAUUGGUUUACAGGGAAAUCAAGGAGCUGUGUAGGGCAGCUAAAGACUAUAGGCAGGACUCACCUUGUUUUAAUGGCCUAAUGAGGGCCAUGUUCACAGCACAUGUAACCCCCUAUGAUUUAAAAUAUGUUAUGACCAUGUUUUUAUCACCUACAGAAUACACCCUGUGGGAAAGGGGGAUGGAAGUGUUUACUAAAUCAAUUAAUGGCAGACUAUGCUAAUAAUGAGGCAAGGGCACAAUUGACAAUCAGCCAUCUAGCUGGAGAAGGACAACACAGCCUGCCAGAUGAUCAAGCAGCAGGUAUCCCCAGAGAAGUAUUGGACAAUAUAAAAGAGAUGGCUUUGAAACCUUUAAUCCAGGUACCGGAUGGUAGCACCCCCAGUUUGGACUAUGUAAGCAUAAGACAAGAACCCGGAGAGCCCUGCAUGAAAUUGAUUGAUCGCCUUAAACAGGCACUAGAGAAACAAGUCUGGGAUGAAAAGACUCAAAAUGAAUUACUAAACUCAUUGGGGGUAGCCAAUGCCAACCUGGAAUGUAAGAAAGGGCUGUGUGCCCUUCCACUAGAGAUGGAAACCCCACUCCUGCAGAUGAUUGAGGCUGUAAUUGCCUCAGGACCACAGAAGACAGAGCAGCCGUACAAGCCCAGGCCAUUGGGCAAGGAGUUGCAGAGGCCCUGGUGGCCAUGCCAUUCCCCUUUAAGGGGCCCCAGCAACAAUUACAGGGCCCAAAAAUAUGUUUCUGGUGUGGUCAACAAGGACAUUUUAGAAAAUAUUGUCUCUGGGGUAGGGGGGUUUCCAGUCCCUAACUGAAAUCAACAUCAAACUAAGCAGAAUUUAGCUUUUUGCAAUGGCCCAGUGCAGGUUGGGAUGAUGAUCCACCCUCACAGCUGGCCCAGGGCAGGCCAGGAGUGGCCUUGGUGGCACCUUGGUGGCACCUUGGGCUUGGCACAGCCUUGAGGAUGGUCUAUGUUUUCAACAGAGAAACUCAAGAGUUUUAGAGUGCUUCAAAGAAUUAAAAAGACAAAACCCCUCUUUGGCUGUGUGCAGUCAGAUCUCCAAGCAAAGCAGAUCCCAAGUGAGUGAGGAGAGACAGGAUGGGGAUGGGGAAUGUGGAGCAAGGUUGUCAACACUGGGUCAGAGCUCAAGGCACAGCUACUCUGACCAGGCCAGACCUCCUUAGCAGAAUCCCUGGAUCAAUAUCAGUCACAGAAUACUGCAAUCACCUCUUGUGUAAUAGGAAAAAAAAAAAAAUCCUUGAAAAUAGGAAUACAUAUUUACUAGAAAAUCUUUCAAAUAUUUCUACAGGAGGAAAACUUCCUGAUGAACAGCACUAGAGCAGAGGGAAAUCAAGGCAGAGCCAUGGUUUGUCAGGACUGGCUUGAUGCUAAUAAGGCCCAUGGUGCAUUUGGAGCUGAGCCCUGGAACCUCAGGGCUUCAGAGGAGAUUGCACAAACCUGUCCAAGAGUCAAAGUCAGAAGAAAACCCCAAAGUGUGUUGAGGCAUGAAUGGGUCCCACUAAGGUCCAUCCCCAACACAGGCUUCUCGUGGAGUCCUUGGAGGAGAGAAUUGGAAGCCAGGAUGGCACAAAAACCUCUCAGAGACUCAGUGAGAAAAGGAAAAUUCAAAGUACUUUAAAAACCUUGAGUAUCUCAAAGUAUUAAUGAGCCCCACUGAGUGUCAGUAUGAAGCUCUCAGGGGACUCGUUAAAGCAGAUAAUUGGGGCCAUGAUUGCACAAACCUCUCACAGAGUCUGGAUCAAAAGGGAAACACCAAGUACCUUCAAAUAACUGAAGUACCUUGAAGCAUUAAUGAGCCCCACUGAGUGCUGUUACUGACAAAGCCUCUCCAGGGACUAAUUACACCAGAUAAUUGGAGGCCAAGAUUGCACAAACCUCUCAGAGACUCCAAGGCAAAAGCCAAACCCAAAGUCCUUGGAAAAACCUGCAGUCCCUGUGGGCUAGGGGAGGAUGCUGAGGGCAGGACA